GACGAACGCUGGCGGCGUGCCUAAUACAUGCAAGUAGAACGCUGAAGGAGGAGCUUGCUUCACUGGAUGAGUUGCGAACGGGUGAGUAACGCGUAGGUAACCUGCCUGGCAGCGGGGGAUAACUAUUGGAAACGAUAGCUAAUACCGCAUAAGAGUAGAUGUUGCAUGACAUUUGCUUAAAAGGUGCAAUUGCAUCACUACCAGAUGGACCUGCGUUGUAUUAGCUAGUUGGUGGGGUAACGGCUCACCAAGGCGACGAUACAUAGCCGACCUGAGAGGGUGAUCGGCCACACUGGGACUGAGACACGGCCCAGACUCCUACGGGAGGCAGCAGUAGGGAAUCUUCGGCAAUGGACGAAAGUCUGACCGAGCAACGCCGCGUGAGUGAAGAAGGUUUUCGGAUCGUAAAGCUCUGUUGUAAGAGAAGAACGAGUGUGAGAGUGGAAAGUUCACACGGGACGGAUCUACCAGAAA
rnacentral:rRNA from 1 species